CGUGUUUGUAGGGGAGCGAUAAGCUUCGUUAUCGCGGUUACGAGCUGCCCCCCUGUCCCUCUGGUAUCCCCUCGGACAUAACUUCACCCUCGGAGACGUUGGUACACAAGUAAACAAGUAAUAUUGGACGCGAAUUCCAUGACCUGCAUUGAAGUGUAUCAACAUUCCAUUACUCGUCGCUUUGCAAAACGACCGAGAACAAAGCCUGUCGAAGGGUGACCGAGCAUGACGGAAAUUAUACUUCAUAGAUACGACCAACAUGGAAAAAAGUACACGUACUUGUAACUUUGUUUUGUUACAUCUUCAAGCGUAGGCUACACAUCCAAUCUUCUUGAAAUUCGAAUUUCCAAUGGCAGUUAGAAGUACAGGAUAUAAGGUAAGUGGUAAAUUCCCGUGGACGAAGCCGUGGUCAAAAGAUAAUUAAGAAAGCAGCUUAAUAAAGGAAUUUUUUAUAUGCAUUUGAAAGUUAUGUACUCUGCGUAUUU